GGAGAGGUGGCCGAGUGGUUUAAGGCGCAGACCUGGAAAGUCUGUAAUGGGGUAACUUAUUCGAGAGUUCGAAUCUCUCCCUCUCCG
rnacentral:tRNA from 1 species